CGCAUUGGUGGUUCAGUGG
rnacentral:miRNA from 1 species